CGCCUGUUUAUUAAAAACAUGGUUUUUAUUUUAUUUUAAAAAUUGAGCCUGCCAAUUGAAAUUUUUUUAAAAGGCCGCAGUAUUUUGACUGUGCUAAGGUAGCAUAGUCAUUAGAUUUUUAAUUGAAAUCUAGAAUGAAUGGUUUGAUGAGAUGAAGUCUUUUUUAAUUUAAAUUUUGAAUUUUAUAUUUUAGUUAAAAAGCUGAAAUUUUUAAAAGGGACGAGAAGACCCUAUAGAAUUUUAUAAAAAUUAUUAUAAUUUUAAAUAUUAUUAAUUUAAAUAAUAUAAUAAAUAUUAUUUUGUUGGGGAGAUAAUUAAAUUUAAUUAACUUUUUAUUUUUAAAUCAUUAAUUUAUGUUUAUUUGAUCUUAUUUUAUUGAUUAAAAAAUUAAAUUACCUUAGGGAUAACAGCAUAAUUUUAUUUAGAAGUUCUUAUUUUUAAUAAAAUUUAUGACCUCGAUGUUGGAUU
rnacentral:rRNA from 1 species